rnacentral:rRNA from 1 species
UUAUCCUACGGGACGCAGCAGUAGGGAAUCUUCCACAAUGGGCGCAAGCCUGAUGGAGCAACACCGCGUGAGUGAAGAAGGGUUUCGGCUCGUAAAGCUCUGUUGUUGGAGAAGAACGUGCGUGAGGGUAACUGUUCACGCAGUGACGGUAUCCAACCAGAAAGUCACGGCUAACUACGUGCCAGCAGCCGCGGUAAUAAGGAGGUGGCAAGCGUUAUCCGGAUUUAUUGGGCGUAAA